rnacentral:tRNA from 2 species
GCCGGGGUGGCCGAGCGUGGUUAAGGCGGCGGAUUGCUAAUCCGCUGCCCGAGAGGGCGCCCGGGUUCAAGUCCCGGCCCCGGCGCCA